GACGAACGCUGGCGGCGUGCCUAAUACAUGCAAGUAGAACGCUGAAGCGAGGAGCUUGCUCUUCUUGGAUGAGUUGCGAACGGGUGAGUAACGCGUAGGUAACCUGCCUUGUAGCGGGGGAUAACUAUUGGAAACGAUAGCUAAUACCGCAUAACAAUGGAUGACACACGUCAUUUAUUUGAAAGGGGCAAUUGCUCCACUACAAGAUGGACCUGCGUUGUAUUAGCUAGUAGGUGAGGUAAUUGCUCACCUAGGCGACGAUACAUAGCCGACCUGAGAGGGUGAUCGGCCACACUGGGACUGAGACACGGCCCAGACUCCUACGGGAGGCAGCAGUAGGGAAUCUUCGGCAAUGGGGGCAACCCUGACCGAGCAACGCCGCGUGAGUGAAGAAGGUUUUCGGAUCGUAAAGCUCUGUUGUAAGUCAAGAACGGGUGUGAGAGUGGAAAGUUCACACUGUGACGGUAGCUUACCGGAAAGGGACGGCUAACUACGUG
rnacentral:rRNA from 1 species